UGACCAAUCCUUACAUCUCCUGUGUUGGU
rnacentral:piRNA from 1 species